rnacentral:lncRNA from 1 species
ACUGGUAGCACAGCCCGGUUCCAUCACCUGAGACCAAAGGUGUCCAAAGCUUAAUAUGAAAUGUUCUCUGUAAGCCAGUCGGCACGUUGGGUUCGGCCUUCAAGCUUCAUGUUCCAGUCGAUUUUGAUACAUCGAGCUUUUGCGUCUGCUUUGUUUAUUUUCGAGUCAUUAAGUGUAUUUUUUCGGCAGUUAAUGGUGACUGAGAAAAAGACAACGACGGAAAUAUGAUGAAGCGCAAGAUUGUGGACAUAGCGUAAUUGGUGAAGCCUCUCACACAGAGGUUAGAUCGCGUGAGUUUUGAGUGUUUCCUUUGAAUAGUUCCAAUAACCUUCUAACCGCUCUAACCGCCAGCUGGAUGAGUGACAUCGCGGAUUCUUCAGCGAUGCCUAUUCUAAUGUCGAGAUUGACGGCUAUGUCUAAUUAUGCUUGCGGCUAGUAUUACGAAGUUGUAGAAUGUGUGUCCAGUGCGCGUCUGAACAGAGACGAGAAGAUUGAUUGACUCUGCAACAAAGUAAUGGGCGCAAUUGAACAAAGAUGCUGACAAUCAUUCUGUAGAAAAUCGAAAAGACUCAGUGGCAGUAAUUCGAAAGAUAUUCAAUUAGAAAAAUUACCAUAAUUGGUUUUCUAUAUGGCGGUGAUGCAUAUAAUAAGCGCAUAUAUUUAACGAUUUCCUCCUCACAGAAAGAUUUUCAAAAGCAAUUUACAGUGAAAAAUUUCCAAUUCCUCCUUGUUCCUUAAAGAUUUAUUUUUUUUAAGAAUACAGGCUCAAUAUCAACCAGGACGUUCUUUACGAGUGAGCUCGUUACAUAAAUGUUUGGAUUGGGGAACAACAUUUACCCACUUUCCUUUUCGUGCCAAACUGUUAACUUCAGUCCUAAUAGGGAAACCACUUACAUAGGAAAAUAUGGCAAGAGAUAGCUGCAGAAUGAAAAUCGGUACUCCAGUAGUAAAAUAAAUAAAAUAUAACAAUGGUUGUAAUGCCUUUGAUAAAGACGCAACACUCAUUAAAUGUCAAAUAUCAAAUGUACAAUGCAAUUCUAACCAAAUACCAUUGACUUCAAGCCCAUAGAUAUUAGAUCAAUUAAAGAUGUUGACUACUACUACAACCACUGUCUGAUUAAAAUCACAUACAGGUUUCAGGACAUAUGGAAUAAAUGCCUAUCCAAUUUGAGAAUUUCACAUAGAAAUCCUGAAAAACGACAUUGCAGCUAAGCAGUGCAGAGCGGUGCUUGAGGGAGACCAUUCCCAUACCGCAAACCAACUCGAAUCGGCUAAUAUUCCAGCUGUUAUUACUGAAUAAGGCAUUCAAAACUACAGGGGAAGAAGUGAGUGGGUAUUCCGGUUAGAAGAUAGUAGUAAGACAAAAAGCCGUAUUUUGACUACAAACUGAUGAAUUCGUGAAUACUAACAUCAGAUAAGCCCACAAACUACCGAAAAGCCCGAGACACCGCUUCCGGGACGAUAGUAGAUGACAACAAAGGACCAAACAACUAUGAAUGAUAUAUUUAAAAAAGCUUCUUAACCUUUUACCGGCAACUCAACUAUUCGAAGCAAUAAAACUAGUUGAUGGACAGCAUAUUGAUCCAACGUUGAAGAAGAAGAAUUUGAAACAAAACAAGCAGAAUAGUCGCGAUAGUUUCGUGGAACGUAUUAAAUAAAGCGGCGAAUAUGCCAUAAAUGCCAUCUAUAAUCACGUCCGGAACAUCUAAAAUCAAGAAUAAAUACCAUACGAGUGGGCAAAGGAUGUCAUCUGGUCUAUUCCCAAACAAGAGAGUAAUCAGCAAUGUCAGAAUUACAGAGGUUAAUCAGCUCAUAAUAAAGGUCUUAGAACAUAAGAGACGCCAACUAAAUUAUUGGGGAGUUCCGAUCGAGAAGAUCAACAAUCGACCACCUUCUUACGGUUCUGGGAAAGUGUUGGGAAUUUAAUAUAAUCGUCCACUAAAUACUUGUGGACUUUAAGCGAGCAGUAUGAUAGUACUAGGCCAAAUAAUGCUUACUUUUGCAAUCGUAGUGAAAUUCGUCCAAUCUCCUCAAGUCAGGAUCAACAACAGUCUGCAACUAAGGCAAGUCAAUAAAUUUCCUCCACUUUUAUUCAAUCUUCUUCGGUAGAUGUUUAUUGAUAGAUACGCUGAAAACAGCGUAAAAACAAGACCAACCAGCGGGACGAUAUUAACAUCAUGUCGCGAUCCUUCACGUAUAUGAAAUGAAUUUUUAUAAACCUUGCAAAGACAGCAAAACGAGGCAAACAUAAUGAAAAUAUCGACACAAACAAGAAAAAUAAUGCCCUUCAGACAAAACAUUACAUUUGACGAAAAUAAUAUACAAACGUUUUAUCUAAUUUGGCACAUCACUGGUGCGAAAUUUUGGCGAAAUAAGAAGGCGAAUACUAGGCGCAAAUAAGGGGUUCUAACCCGUUUUGAAGGCAUACAGGAGUGGGAAGACACGCAUUGACAAAAAAUUAUAAGGCUUGGUUUUUUUCAUGCAAGCAUCUGAGGAAACGAUAAAUGAGUUUGAAAGGAGAGUUAUGAGAAGGAUUAUGAGAACUAGCGAUGAUGGAGAUCCAAGACAAAUCAGGUGCAAUCAAAGGGGCAACUGAUUAAACGCCUGUCAAUGAGUUAAACGGCUACGCCAAAUCACUUACUGACAGAGUUAACGCUAGGCAACCGUUGGCAAUGCAAUGCAAUGGUGAGAUGAAGCAGUUUGGCGCGCAACUUAUGCAGCCCAACCACAAAGGAUUUAUGUAUAUUUAUUUUUAAUUAUAAGCAUUGAUUUGAUAUUAAUUUAUUUGUAUAUGUUUUUUUUUUACGAAAAUAACUGACAAACAUGGCCAGUGGACUCUUUCCGGUGCGUCCAAAAUUCAGUACGUUCGUAUGUUUAAUCGCUCACUCCGCUCCAGUAAUGAGCAGUAUGUAUGGUUUCAUUCAACAUGACAAUACUCGAAUACCUAAAAAUGUACUCGAGUGAAGCAGUGGGAAAACCAAGGAACCGUGGAGCGGAUAUAAUAGACACUGCACUGCAUUCUGAGAGCCAAGGCCCGCUACUGACUGUAGAGCCUCAACGGACGACGACAAAGCCUGAUUUUAUAUUCCCAAUUGGGAAAGGGGAAAGCUAACAAAUAUCUGCAUUUUCCCAUUUCCAGCAUUUUGGAAGGUAGAGUUUCAUUUCUUAAUAGGAAGGCAAUGAAGUUCAAAGCAACAUUUCUAUUAAUAAGAAAAUUUGUCACAUUUAAAAACUAGUUAACCUAACAUAAACCUUAACAAUUGGCUUAAUCUAAAGUUACACUGCUAAAAUCUUAACUAAUAU